rnacentral:tRNA from 1 species
GCCGAUGUAGCUCAGUUGGCAGAGCACGUCUUUGGUAAAGACGAGGUCAGCGGUUCAAUCCCGCUCAUCGGCUCAA